rnacentral:lncRNA from 1 species
AAAUAAAAAAAAGUUAGAAUUUGCUCUCACACCAGGUUAAUCAGAAAACUAAUAUAAUAAAAACCAUAUAUCUAUCCCAGAAUAAUAACAACCGCUCUUCAUCUCUAUGUCCUUUGAAGCAAAAUUUAAAUACAUCCUCAGGUCCACGAAAAGCCAUUAAAUCCCAAUUAGUUGUAUUUUUUAAUGAUAUAAAUAAUGUUAAGGUUAGGCCAUCUGUCUAUUUGCAGCUUAAGGUGAACUUUAUUUUGUCCUUUUACUGCUCCUCUGGGGGUGAGACCAUGGGAUUAAACAAAUUGGUUUUUUGAGCAGCCACUCAUUGUUUUUUUUUUUUUUUUCUUUUUUUGGGUUGUUAAUUUUUUUUUUGGUAAAAACUUACUGAACUUACCGAGUAAUCUUUCAAAAUUUUGAUUUGAUCAGUAAAUCUUUUAAUUUAUUUGAUACGAAUCAGCCAACAAUAAUUUGACUUUAAAAUUUAUAAUUACGAAAAUUAUAUAAAAUAUACAAACUAAAUUUAUAAAAAUAAAUAAUAAAUUUUAAUUUUAAAGUCAAGUUAUUGUUUGAUUAUUUCAAAUUCAAUAAAUUAAAAAUUUAAAUAGUAAAAAUAAAAUUUUAAAAGAUUAAAUAAUCGAUCCAAAAUGUUCUAUAUAAUUCAGAUAAGUGUGCACAACUUUGUUUUUUCUUUGGGCCAUAGAUAUACUUAAAGGCUGCGUUUGGUUCGGGUAUAAGUAAGAAUUACUAGUUCUAGGGAUAAGUACAAGUUCAGGUAUAAGCAGGAACUAGACCAAUUUUGCGUUUGGAUGAAAAUUGGGUUGUUCCUAGAAAUAAAGUAAAUAAUGUUUGGAUGAUUAGAUUGGAACAAGAGGAAUAAGCGUUAUAAUUUGAAAUUAAAAUUAUAUUAUGUAAUUAAUUAACAUAAAAAUAUUACUUAAAAAUAAAUAAAAAUUAAUUAUUAAUAAUUAAUUAUAAAUAAUAUAUUAAUAAUAAUAUAGAUUAUUAUUAAUUAUUAAUAAUUAUUAAUAAUUAUUACUAAAAAAUUAAUAAAUAUUAUUAAUUAUUAAUAAUUAAUUAUAAAUAAUAAAUUAAUAAUAAUAAUUAUCUAAUUAUUCAUAAUUAAUUAUAAAUAAUAAAUUAUUUAAUUAUUUAAUUAUUAAAAUAAUAAAUAAUAAUUUAAAUAUAUUAAUUAGAUUAAUUAAUAAUUUAGUGCCAUUAAAAUUAAAUUUAAAUUUUAAUUAAUCUUGUUCUCAUCAAGGAACAGGCUUGUUCCAGAAAACGGGUGGAACAGCAGUUCCAACCUUAUACCAGCUAGUUCCAGAUUUCUGAAAACUACUGUUUCCGGAAACCAAACGUAGCGUUUGGGAACAAAAGGAGGAACGAGGGCUUAUUCCCCCCUUGUUCCCCAACCAAACGCUACCUUUAAUGAACUCAUGGUGCAACCACCAAAGGUUCUAGGUGGGUGAACACUAAGCAUCCUCUCUCUCUCUCUCUCUCUCUCUCUCUCUCUCUCUCUGUGUGCGUGUGUGCGUGUGUGUGUGUGUGUGUGUGUGUUUUUGUGUGUGGAGAAGGGGCAUGGGGAUCUGUAUCUCUACUGAGCACUUGGAGAAGGAGGAGUGUGAUGGGAACAUAGUAUAUGUGAUGGAGGAGGAGGAUCUAUGUUCUGAUGAGGAAGGGGUGAGGAGAAUUGCUUCCCUCUUCUCUCAGCAGGGAAAGAAAGGGCCAAACCAAGAUGCUGCCAUCCUCUGCCAGGUAUGCUGAUGAAAUGAACAUCACAAAAUCUUAGACCAAUUUCUUUCCUUUUUUUUUUUUUUUUUUCUUGGAAACCUUUUGAACCUUUAUUUGGAUCAAAACUGCAACUAAUAAGAUUGCCUACCUUGUUUGGUUUUAUUUUUUGGCUCCAUCCAAUAUGAGUUGAUUAUGAAUCUCAUUAAGAAAUGGCUAGUUAAUUGCAUGUUGAUCUGUAAUUGGAUCCAAAACUGCAGAUUUCAUUUUUGAUCUUUGCACAAUUCAAUUGGGAAAAGAAUGAUUAUUUUGCAACCAUUCUGAUGGGUCAAUAUGUAUGUUCUUAUGAUAGAAAAGUAUAUUUCUAGAACUUUCUUUGAUUGUGUCUAAAGUGCUAUUCACUUUUUCUUCCUCUUUCUGAUGAGGAUUAUAUGUUCUUAUUAUUUUCUAGAAAACCCAUCAUAGGAAAAGAAAGAUUUUGCUUGCUCCAUGAAUAACAGAUCAAAAUUGUUACUGUAGGAAGAUCAUCUGUGAUUGUUGAAACAAUAAGCAACAAGAUUUUGAGAGAUAAGGGCUAACUUUUUUUUUGUUUUGUUUUUUUUUGUUUUUUUUUGUUUACUAAUUGAAGGGUUAUGGUAUGGAGGAUGGGGUGUUUUGUGGGGUCUUUGAUGGCCAUGGGAGGUCUGGGCACAUAGUGAGCAAACUAGUUAGAGAUUACCUUCCAUCUUUGCUCCUUAGCGAGCGCAACGCCAUCGUCCUCUCCGACAACGACGACUACGGAUUCGGCAAUUGUAACUCUAGCAGUUCAUGCGAAGAAGCUCCGUCUCCUCUCUCUUCUCCAGAGAUGUUUGAUGAGUGGAAACAGGCCUGCACCAAUGCUUUCAGAGCCAUGGAUAAAGAACUCAAGCUCCAGAAUAACUUGGAUUGCUCCUUUAGUGGCACUACGGCAGUAACCAUCAUUAAGCAGGUAAAUUAUAGGGAAAAUGAUGUUGACAGAAUGCUAUUUUUGUUAAGGAUAGAUCGGUAAAUUGAAAUCCGAGAUCUCUUAUCUGGUAUUAUCUAAUUCACAUUCUGAUAACAGGGUAAGGAUUUGAUCAUCGCCAACCUCGGGGAUUCGAGAGCAGUUAUGGGAACAAUCUCACAAGAUGGUCAGCUUCAGGCCAUACAAGUAACAACUGACUUAAAGCCUAGCAUACCGAGUAAGCCUUCUUUUUGUACACUUUCUAUGCUAAAUGUGUGGACUUAAAAGUUUGUGAGCUUAAAUAUUAACUAUAAUUGGUUCUAAUUCUGACAUGCAGAGGAGGCAGACAGAAUAAGGAAGAGCCAUGGGCGGAUUUUCGCACUAAAGGACGAGCCGCACAUCCAGCGGGUGUGGCUGCCCGACGAGAACUACCCAGGCCUCGCCAUGGCCCGUUCUUUUGGCGAUUUCGGGCUCAAACACUACGGUGUGAUCUCCGUCCCUGAGGUCUCCUAUCACCGGCUAACAAGCAAAGAUCUUUUCAUCGUCCUAGCUACUGAUGGGGUAUAUAUUCUUGACGAACAUCUUCUUGCAAAUAUAUUUAUGUGAUAGAACCCUCCUUAACUAUUGUACUUCAACAGAUAAAAGUUCGAAUUUUUUUCUCUCAAAAUAACUGAUAAAAGUUCGAACUUUCAAAGUUAAAAUUAAGAACUAUCUGAAAAUUUUGGUCAGCCUCCUAUCCCUUAUUUCAGCCAUCCUUCAAACAAAUGUAAAUCGAGUGAAAGCCAGAUGAGUCUGAUGCUCCUAAAACAUUCUAAAGAAGAGAGGUAAGACCGAGAAUUUCUAAGACACGUGACAGUGCCAAGGACCGAAUCGGUGGUAGGCUGAUUGAAAUUCGCUUAUUGUUUGGGAUAUCUUCUCUCAAGUUUUAGAAUUAUAGAUGACCGACCAUCGAUAAAAGAGCGAUUGUAUACAAGUCUCUGGUGAAAUUUUCCUCAUCUGAUUUCGUUUUAUGAUAUGCAUGCGAAUUGCAGGUGUGGGAUGUAUUAAGCAAUGAAGAAGUGGUAUCAAUAGUGUGGUCAACAGGAAGGAAAGAGGAGGCAUCAGAAGCAGUGGUGGAAGCAGCUACGCGCGCGUGGAAGAGCAAAUUCCCUUCAUCAAGAGUAGAUGAUUGCUCUGUUGCUUGCCUCUUUCUUCAGGAUAAGAAGCAACAAUUAAUUCUAAAAUCAUCAAAGAAGGCCUAAAAGGAUUUGAAUAAGGCAAUUGUUGUUCUCCUUUUAGUACUUUGGAAUGAUCUCCAUGUUGGUAUAUAUAGGGUUGGGAGAAGCAGCAUGCAUGCUGUUGCUAGGAUCCUCCAAGGUUUUGUUCUUAAUAUAUUAUAUAUGUGUAUGAAGAACUUUUUUUUUCCUAGUUAAAGAUGGAAAGAUUGAGUUGUUCAUGAUAGCAAGUAGAAUUUAGUAGAUAAUGAUCACAUAUCUAAAAUGAAUAUAAUUUUAAGCCUUCGAGUCUUCUUUUUCGAAACCACUGGUAGUCUAAAGCUGUUCAAAAUAUUCGAUAUUUCACACUUGAUUUGGACCUUAUCCAGACCCGAUAAAAAAUGGAUAGUAUACGAGUAAAAAAAUUAUCCAUUAAAGUUUGUGGUAUGGGUUUGAAUACUUUAUACCCAUAAUCGACUUGAACCCGACUCGAAUGAGUAGGGUCUAGAAGAGUUUUCAAAUUCAGACCUAGACUCAGAUCCGGAUCCGGUGAAAUACCAGAUAGCAAAUAAAAAAAUUUAAAGUUGAGAGAUUAAUUUCAAUAGAUCUUAUAGAUUAAGUGUCUUUCGAUGGGUAUAUUAUUAACUUAAGUACAUAUUCAAAUCCGAUCUAUUUUUUUCUACCCAUUUUUUGUUAUGGUACGGAUAAAAUAUAUCAACUACCAAGACUCUACCAGGUACACAGACAUCUUUAGUCGUAGUCCAGUGAUAUUCCAUCCGGAGGCGUUCUGGGACGUGGGGGAAUCGAACUCAACUACAUGCAUUUCAAAUAGGAGUUCUAUUCUUGGGUAAUGGGCUCGAGUGCGUUGGAAGGUGUUCUUGUGUCACCGAAAAUUAUGAGUUCAUAGAUAGACUAACAUAUUCACUGACCAGUAUAUUCUAACUUUGAAGUUUGAAUAAGACAUUCAUUCUUGAUUUAUAAUCCUCAUCUACCAAAUCCCAAGCAUUAUUUUUAAAUAAAUUAAAAAAAUAUAGACUACAUUUUUUUUUUUGUUUGAAUGUAGAAAUAAGAUAUUCAAUAAUACAAAAUUAGUUUUUUUAAAAUUUUGAAAUAUAGACACGAUGCCUUCGUAUUCCCAACCAAUUAAAUUGUGAUCCUAAUAAGGGCUAAGCUUCAUCUGUUUCAUUAUAAUUUUUUUUUAUUCUUUUAUUUAGAGAUGGACCACGAAGUCAAGCUGUUAUAUAGAAGGAAGAUCAUACAUAGGGAUGUCAACGGGUCGGGUUCGGGUCGAAUUUUUAAAAAUUCGAACCCGAACCUGAAAACCAAAUUAAAAUUCGUAUCCGUAUCCGAACCCGACGGGUUUUAAAAAUUCAUAUCCAUAUCCGUACCGGACCAAAAACCCGAAACCCGAACCCGGACCCGAUGGGUUCUAAAAAUUCAUACCGUUGAAUGAAGAUCUAAGGGAUAAAAAUUAUUAAAUAUUUUAUAUAUUAUAUAAAUAAAUAAAAAUAAAGUAUGUAUAUAUAUAAUUUAUUCGAGUUUGGGUUCGGAUUCGGGUCGGAUAAAUACAAAAUUCAUACCCGUAUCCAUAUCUAUCGGAUUUUUAUUUUCUAUACCCAUAAUUGAAUUCAUACCCGUUUAGCUCGGAUAAACUCCCAUUCGAAUUUGGAUUCAGAUAAUAUUUCGGGUAUCCAUAUCCAUUGACCUCCCUAAUCACACAUUCACACAUCCCCACCCCAAAGUGAUCGAGUCCUCUUUUUUGUCCGAACUCUUUCCACAGCGCGGGAUUAUCUCGCUCCACGUCCUCCCAUCCGGGGAGCGGACGAAAAAAAAAAAAGCUCGCGUUUACACCACACGCCGACCGAAGAGCGAUGGAGGAGCUGCCGUCGGCGGUGGUGCUGGAGAUACUGGGCCGGCUGGGCGACGCGGGCGACCUGGCCCGGUGCCGGCUGGCCUGCCGCGCCCUCCGCUCGCUCUCCUACCACGUCNUUUUUUCUACCCAUUUUUUGUUAUGGUACGGAUAAAAUAUAUCAACUACCAAGACUCUACCAGGUACACAGACAUCUUUAGUCUUAGUCCAGUGAUAUUCCAUCCGGAGGCGUUCUGGGACGUGGGGGAAUCGAACUCAACUACAUGCACUUCAAAUAGGAGUAGGGAUGCAAACGGGGCGGAUCCGGAGGCGGGAGAGUUUUUCCACCUCCCGCUUUAUUUCUUAUCUGGACGGGGCGAAUCCGGGGGCGGGAGAGUUUCCCCACCUCCCGCUCUAUUUCUUAUCUGGACGGGACGGAUUCGGGGCGGGUUAUUUUUUAUUUUAUUUUUGGCUCCCACUUACCGCUCCAUUCGGGGCGGGAGCGGGGUGGGAGCGGAUUUUUAACGGAUCGGGGUAGAUUGAAGGAAGAAAAGAGUCUCCCACCUUCCGCUUCAUUUACUUGGCGGAUCGGGACGGAUUCGGAGCGGGUUAUAUUUUUCUAUAUUUUUUGUUCCCAUUUACCACCCCAUUCGGGGCGGAUCGGGGCGGAGCUCCACCAACCCGGAUCCAUUUGCAUCCCUAAAUAGGAGUUCUAUUCUUGGGUAAUGGGCUCGAGUGCGUUGUAAGGUGUUCUUGUGUGACCGAAAAUUAUGAGUUCAUAGAUAGACUAACAUAUUCACUGACCAGAUAUUCUAACUUUGAAGUUUGAAUAAGACAUUCAUUCUUGAUUUAUAAUCCUCAUCUACCAAAUCCCAAUCAUUAUUUUUAAAUAAAUUAAAAAAAUAUAGACUAUAUUUUUUUUUUGUUUGAAUGUAGAAAUAAGAUAUUCAAUGAUACAAAAUUAGUUUUUUAAAAAUUUUGAAAAAUAGACACAAUGCCUUUGUAUUCCCAACCAAUUAAAUUGUGAUCCUAAUAAGGGCUAAGCUUCAUCUGUUUCAUUAUAAUUUUUUUUAAUUUUUUUAUUUAGAGAUGGACGACGAAGUCAAGCUGUUAUAUAGAAGGAAGAUCAUACAUAGGGAUGUCAACGGUCGGGUUCUUGUCGGAUUUUUAAAAAUCCGAACCUGAAUUUGAAAACCAAAUUAAAAUCCGUAUCCGUACCCGAAUCCGGCGGGUUUUAAAAAUCCAUAUUUAUAUCCGUACCCGACCAAAAAUUCGAAACUCGAAUCCGGACCCGGACCCGAUGGGUACUAAAAAUCCAUAUCGUUGAAUGAAGAUCUAAGAGAUAAAAAUUAUUAAAUAUUUUAUAUAUUAUAUAAAUAAAUAAAAAUAAAGUAUGCAUAUAUAUAAUUUAUUCUGGUUCGGGUCGGGUUCGGGUCGGGUUCUGGUUCGGGUCGGGUAAAUACAAAAUUUAUACCCGUAUCCAUAUCUGUCGGAUUUUUAUUUUUUAUAUCCAUAAUCGAAUCCAUACCCGUUUAGCUCGAAUAAACCCGACCCAUUCGAGUUUGGAUUCGGAUAAUAUUUUGGAUGUCCAUACCCAUGAUUGACAUUCCUAAUCACACAUCCCCAGCCCAAAGUGAGCGAGUCCUCUUUUUUUCUCCGAACUCUUUCCACAGCGCGGGAUUAUCUCGCUCCCCGUCCUCCCAUCCGGGGAGCGGACGAAAAAAAAAAAAGCUCGCGUUUACACCACACGCCGACCGAAGAGCGAUGGAGGAGCUGCCGUCGGCGGUGGUGCUGGAGAUACUGGGCCGGCUGGGCGACGCGGGCGACCUGGCCCGGUGCCGGCUGGCCUGCCGCGCCCUCCGCUCGCUCUCCUACCACGUCCCCUCCGUCCGCCUCCGCUGCUCCCCCUCCGCCGCCGCCGGCUCCGCCUCCACCUCCGCCUCCGCCCUCCCCUUCAAAACCCUCGCCCUCAACCUCGUCUCCCUCCUCGCCCCCUCCCUCCUCCGCCUCUCCCUCGCCGUCGACCCCCCCUCCUCCUCCUGGGACGACGCCGACCUCGACUCCGACGCCGACGACCUCCACCUCGCCGCCGCCGACUUCCUCUCCCGCUGCCUCCCCCCGCUUGCCCCCCGCCUCCGCUCCCUCGCCCUCUCCGACUACUGGGCCCAGUCCUGCUGGCGCCGCUCCGACGCCCUCGCCGUCAUCUCCCUUCUCUGUAAGAACUGCUUUCAUCAUCUCAUCUGGAUCCCUCUCCCCCUUCGAUUUCAUCUGAUCGGAUUCUCAUCCACUACAUGAAUCUGCAAAGGGUUGGGAAUUUAUUUUUUUCCCUUUAACAUUCUAGAGUGAACUAACAGUAACAGCAUGUGUGGUGGCAUUAUUUUUUAUAGUUUUUUUUUGGGCAAAAUCAUCUUGUCGAGUUUUGCAGUGUGAGGGAAUACGUGUGUUGCGCGAACUACAUCAAUAUCAGCAACUAUGGCUCUGCUUCAACUGCUCUGUUAUUACUAGAAUAUUAAGACUCUUGCGUAAAAGCUCACGCAGUUCAGAUUUUAAAUAUGGUUCUGAGCUGUACUGGAGAAUGAGAAGUAGAAAUCCUUUUUUUUAUGCACUAGAAUGUGUACAGUUUGAGGUGCAUGGUUUGAGAUGAUAAAUCUGGUGUUUAGGAUCCGUAGAUUCUUCUCCUAAUUUGAUUUUAGCUUCUAUUCGGUAACUUCGACAAUAGAGUCCAAGUCUUUUGUAUUCCUAUAUACACACAAGAAAGAACAAGCAAUUUCACCUGUAGAAAAGAUGAAUUCGAUGUUGACGACGAAUGAAAAUAUACAUACUGAGUUGCCUUUUAAGGACGAGACAUGCUUUCAUUCUACACAUAGCAUCUUCUGUAACUUGUUCGUUUUCACAUUAUGGGAUUUGAAAAGAGUGUUUUCUUUAUUAUUGUUGUCGAUAAUUUGAUCCCGUGCUAUCUUUAUUGACUAAUUAUUCAUUUUCUGCAGGUAACAACCUUGUUGAAUUGGAGGUGAGAAAUGCGUGGCUAUCGGUCAACGGCCUUAGAUGUAUGCCGAAACUGACCAGUCUAACACUGGAAUUCAUCAGACUCGAUGACGAGAACAUCGACAGGCUGAAUGAGUGUUUCCCUUCCCUCCAAGUCCUUAACCUAAUUGGGGUCGGGGGCCUUAAAGAGCCCAAACUCCAUCUCCCUCAACUAAAAAAGUGCCGCUGGACCAUUUCCAGCAUCCCGCUCAACUCGACUAUAGUUGCACCCAACUUGGUCGAGCUCGAGUUCACGAGCGUGGAACCGAAGAUACUCAUUCUCGAGACUCCAUCACUUUCUGACCUCAACCUUAUUAUUGUAAAACCUAGUGCCACCAUCGUUGGAGCCGAGAAGUGCCUCAGCCUGCGUAAUCUGAGGAUUGAAUCGUUUGGUAUACCUGGCCUUGCGCGCAUGUUUGGGGGCAGCCAGAGUUUAAAAAGACUGGAAAUCGAGAUCCCGAGGAGAACCAGAACUGAUGAAUUAUAUGAAGCCCUCUCUUUAAGCGAUCUACUUAGGAAUUUUCCCCAUCUGGAUGAACUUACGGUGGGCCCCGAGGCGUGGUUUGAAUUGCAAAAGCCUUGCAAUAUUUUAACUAGCACUGGAUAUUCGAGGUGUCUGAAGAAACUAACAGUGCAUCUUGAACCGUCGGAUUUCGACAUUAAAUUCAUGGCCCUUUUCUUGAGCUUGUGCGGACCGUUAUGUGAAGUGACCAUUCUUUUCUUCGACUCUUCCGAAGCCGCAGCUAGGGAACAAAUCGUCACAAAGUGUGCUAGCGAUUUCCCGAUGGUCAGGUGGAAAUGGGGCACCCGAAAGAAACCAAAUCGAAAUACCUUGUGAUAUGCUUGAUGUUCCAGCAACACGUAGGUCAAAUUGGUUAGGUUUUCUUUGUGAAAUACCUUUUCUUUUGUUGUUGUGCGUAUGUAGUAUUACCAGCUAGUUUGAUCAGUGUUUGGACAAAAGGAGGUGGGUUCUACUUGGGUGUAAUGUAAUAUAGCAGUGGAUAGCUUAAAACAUGCAAAACUACAUAUCAUUUGGUGUAAACUUAAUCCUUUCUAUUACUCUUGUUCUUAUGUUGGAUCCGUAAGUUAAUAUUGCGGCUCUUCACUUUGCUGAUGUGCUUCUGAGAUUGCUAGUCUCUUCUUAAUAUUGCACCAUUAAUCAACACUAGUGUGAAUUUUUCCAUAUUUCAAUACCCACUCCCUUCCAGAGACGCCAAAUAAUUACAAUGAAAAAAAAAAGGAAAAAAACAAAACAAAAAGGUUGGUGAGAGGUUCUCCAUCUCCUGUACUAGAUCACAAUUGUUUAGGGAUCAGAAGAAGUGAUAACCACAAAGAACCAGGCCAUACGAAUUGUUUUAAUGGACAAGAAGCUUACGAGUUAACCAGCGACCUAUAUAAGAUCACCUAUCAACCUAUAGGUUAGUUACAGAAAAUUUACAACACUGGAAGCAGCAGAGAAGUUGCUAGCAUCUCACAUUCAGCAGCAGAAAGGGCAACAGGAGAAGCAAGGAAACCACUUCCUAAAACCUGAUAUCGGAGGCUCUGUCGGUGGAGGAGAUUGCUGCGGCUGCUCCGCUUGCGCCUGUUGGUGCACUGAUGAUUCGUUCUUCUGUGACCCGCUUCUCCCUUCCAUCGUCAAUCUGUAUAUAACCGAGUAAUCAUUGUCAAAAAUCGGACGAAUGUUCGAAAAAGAUAAAAGCGAUUUCCUCUUUUAAGUGCCUGUUUGGCCAAACUUCUAAACUAGCUUUUUUACUCUAGGAUUUUUUUGCUCUUGAAAACCAGAAGAGAGAAGCUAGUAAGUAGUUUGGACCUUUUGAUGUGGCACAAUGUUAAAAAGAGCUUUUAGAGCUGGAAGAGAGAAGCUUCAAUUUGAAGCUUCUAAUUCUGCUUCUGCUGUAGUAAGAAACUGUAAGAUCAAAUAAGCCCCGAAACUAUCCCCAAAUAGAACCAUAAGAUAUGCAACAUAGAAGAGUAAUCAAUAUGUUCUUAUAAAUAAAUAUCAUGAUAUUAAGACAGCAGGGUUGUAACCAGCGAAGUAGGUGCAAUGAACCUAGUCAAUGUUCAUACGAAAUACUUGACCAGACACAAUGCAUGUGCUUUUCUGAUAAUAAUUGCAGCUCUAUUGAUAUCACUGCAUUGUAAAAGAAGGAUGCAAGGAGAUCAUACAUUGGAAAGGCAAAAGAUCGAUAGCUAGUAACACUGCCCUCAGAGAUCCUAGAAGUGCUAUCAGAAUGAGGAGCCCCUGAAAUGGAGGGCUUCUCCCUAGCAUCAGUUUCUUCUCCAGUCGCCUUUAAAACACUCCCCUCGGAGAUACUAGAAGUGCUAUUAGAAUGAUAAAUCCCCGAAAUGGUGUGUUUCUCCUUAACCGCACUUCCAUCUGCAGUUGCCUUUAGAACAUCCUUCAUGGCAUCGCCUUUUACUUCUUCAGCUGCACCCGGCUUCUUCAAAACUGAUCCUGAAUUCACAUCUUUCACCGGACUUGGACUGGCUAGCGCAGCAACGGAGGAAAAAUUAUCCAAAUUGCUAUUGCAGAAACUGGUGAGGUCUCCCGACUUCCCAAUAUGGAUGCUAAACAACGAUUCAUUCGAGGUCACGCUCCAUUCCAUGGGUGUACCACCCUUGCUGCUUGUGAAAAUUGAUGCAGGGAUCCUAUUGGGAUCAGGGACAUUGCAUUUCCCUGUAGAUUGACCCGAAGGGAACUGAUUCGUUUCAAACUUAACAAACUUAUCUGAUUCAGGAUUUAGUUUUGUGGUCGAUUCGACCGCCGGUUCCCGUAACUGAGAAUUUUCUCCACUUUGUAGGGGCUUCUCAUCUUUUGCUGUAAUCAGUUUGCUACUGUCGACUGCGUCGAUUUGGAAGAAAUCUUCGUCUAUUGAACUAUCUGAAGAAGAUGAAGAGGACCAAGAUGGUUCUUUUCCGAACUUGGGACCAUUUUCCAAUUUGUCUUCAUUAUUAUUAUCCUGGUUUGCUCCAGACUCAAGAUGUGGCUUCUCAUGUCCAAUACUCGCAUGACCGUGUAAAGAGUCCAUAAAUAUGUGCCGGAAAUUAAGACUCUGGUUUUCAAUAUUACCGCAUCAAUUUCCAAUGAUCUGUGCCGAACAUAAAGAGAAUGUUAAAUAUCAAAAGCAUGUCACACUUGAAUUAAAGAGAAUAUCAAAUGCAUAGUUCUUGUUCUGUUUAGCAGAACAAUCGCGGUCAUCUCAAGUUAGAACUUGGUUGAGAAAUCAUCAUACAGAAUAUGUAUACAGCUAGAUUGCGGAGCAUAACGAAGCAAAGAAGAUUUGAUCAUAUCACAACUGUACAAACAUUAAAUGUGCAGGGUAACAAGGAAAACUACAUCUCAAUAGCCAAAAACUCGUAUGAAACAUUAGGAUAAUAAGCUGAUAUUUUUUUUCCAUUAAUCAACAAGAAGAGUGAAGAAACCAUUCAAUACAAUUCAAAAGCAAAGUGUCACCACUGCUUUCUUCUUAUUUAAAUAUACAUUAAAAACUACAGAAAAUAUCAAUUUCAGGACUUAGUCAUCAUCUAAGAAGGAAUUGAAAUUAUAAACUGCAAAGGAAAAUAGUUAGCUCAUAUCAUAAAUAUUCAUGGGAAAAAUGUGCUAAUCACCUAAAUAACCAUCAAGCUGAGAUUUUUCUUUCUUUUACUUUAAUUACUUCAAUCGGCCACCGGAAAAAUCCAAUUUUUCGCAAUUAAGCAUCGACUAAAUCAGAAAAUAAGAGGUUUUUACAUACCUCGAGGUCGAUUGAGCUGUAAAUCCACAAUGAUAAUAUCCAAAAAGAGAUUUUUUUUUCGGGGAGGGGGGGAUUGAUUCUCGUUCCCUUUUCCCUCUUCUGAGCUCGCUCAAGGAGAUAAAAACGAGAGAGGGGAUUUGUUGUGUUGAUGGGGUUUAAUGGCCCCAGUUUGGGACGAGAUAUGGUGCUACGAAGGAACAACCUCUUUGCCGUAAUUAGGGAGGAGUUGAAACCUAAAUCGCCAAAACCUCUUCCGCGUCGCGAAACGCGGGACGCCCCCGACGCGCAACCUCUCUCUCUCUUUCUCUACCGUCUUUUCAACCGCAACCGCAGCCGCCGCCCCGCGCGGCGCCGGCGCCGGCGCCGCCGCGGGGCCGAGAAGCUUCCCUUUUGCGGCGGCGACACGGGAUGCAGGGUUUUGAUGGACACUAUUGCUUGCACUCCGUGCACCACGUCAUCCGUGAACCGCAGUCUCAUUGCACUCUUUCUUUUUUUUUUUAAUUUUAGUUCCCGCUGCUUGGAUUGGAAUCAUGAGCUAAGUUGAUGGGAAAAUUCUAAAAUGCACCUUUUAUAUCGGUGUCACAGCAUUUUCAACCAAUCAAAUAUUUUUUUUCUAGAUUUAUCUCUCUCAUUAUAAUUAUAAAAAAUAUUUUAAUUAUAUAUUUUUUUAAAAGGAGAGUAUAGUUGAUUUGUUAUUCAAUGUCGUAGUGUAAAUAUCAAAUAGUAAGCCGUCUCGAGGUAGUUGUACUUGUUCGGUGCACGGAUGACGUGGUGUGCCCGGUGGAGGCAAUAAUUUCACCGGUUUUAUCUGACGUGGCAUGGCUCAAGUGAGCUAGUGGGCUAGGACAUGGGCUAAAAGAACGGGCCCAAAUGACAUGUGCAUACAAAGGGGCCCAUCUCAUUUGCUGAACAACUAGUUUUAAUAAUAAAACCCCUUACUUUAUCUCGGGUCUCAAAUGUCUUUCUACAUAAAAAAAAAAAAAAAAUUAAAAUUAAACAAUAUAAAUUAAGUCCAGCUAUUAUAGUAUCGAUAGUACUAAAUUUUUGAUUAUCCUAACUACAUAUUCUUUAAUCCAUUCUAUGGUCGAAAACUCGAUAGUACCAAACGCUUGAUACUAUCGAUAGUAUAAUAGCAUAAUUCAUAUAAAUCUUACAUUUUACUUUUUUUUUUUUUGUCAAAUAAGAUAGCACAUAUUUAAGAUCAUUUAGACUGACUAUCAAAAUUCAAAAGGAAUCAUAAAAAUACAUUCGAGUGCGAGAAUUAAAAUUAUUUAUAUUUUUAUGUAGAAAAAUAUUUAAGAUACAAAAGAAAGUGUAUGAAAAAAUUUUAUAAUUAAGCCCAACUAUUAACAUCAGAAUCAUGUCCCUUUCAGGUUCGACUCAUUUUUUAUUAGAAAAGAAAAAAGAAAAUUCUCAAUCCCUCUGAGUCGUGAGUUUAACAUAAAGAAUAUAAACAAUGGACACGCUAAAAAAGGCAAAAGUCCGAGAACAAAUACUAUUCUAUUCUAUGGUACAUAUCUUUUUAGUCACGGAACUACUAUGCAUGCAGUACAUUAUAAUAUCAGCGUUACAGCUCAUUAGACAUGAUCGCAUGAACGACAAAUUGACUCGAGUCGAAUUAGUGUGCCAGUUUAUUGUGGCUCCAGCUCAAGUACAAUGAUGGUGCGUGCACCGAAUAAUUUUAAUACGCAGUGGUACGCAUGCACGAAACACCGACCUAAGUUAAUAAUGAAAAAAAUGUGUCAACUCAUCAUGGCGAGACCAUGUCACGCAACAAAAAAAGAAAGGCAUAAGCUCAUCUGCUUGUUUUAUCAAUUACCUGCAUAUAGAAAGAAUAUAGGCUCGUGAAAUGAUACGAAUGUUUUACUUGAUACAGAAUAAUUAGCAAUAAUGAUUAUAAAUUAAAUAUUCUUAUCUUGAGAGAGCAAAAUUAGGUGGUUCUUGUACAUCUUGAGAGAGCAAAAUUAGGUGGUUCUUGUACCUACAAGCACAUGAGCAACAUUGCAUGAUCAUAUAGUUCAGUUGAUGCAAUAAUGAAACAACAUGAAUGUACGGAGACACUAAAUAUAGAUGACAAUUUCUCUUUUGUCGUCGUCGUCGUCGUCGUCUUAAACUAUUUAAUCCAUGAUGACACAGGUAUUUUGAAGUUUUCACCACUGUAACACCUUUCAUUAUAAGCAGUUUUACGAGAUGAUGAAAUUGGGGGCCAUGGAUCAAAUUUGAAACCAAACAGGAGAAAAGAACCGGUGUUGAUUCAAAUUUUGAAACUACUUAUCUACUUAAUCUUUGUAAAUUUCAACUUUAUUAGUUAAUCUUUCAUUAAUUUUGAUUAAAAGUAUGUCAUCAAGUUUUAUUCUGACUUAGAUUUAGUUUGAAAUUGCAAAAAGAGAGUCGGUUACAGUAAAAAAAGUGUGAUAAAAUAAUAUGCUAUUUAUUUUCAUUAAAUAAAUACUAUAUUGUGUAGGUUAUAAUGAUCAUUUUAACGAUUUCAUAACAAAAAACAUAAUAGUAAUUUUAGAUAGCACUUGGUAUCAAAAAGAGUCAUUAAUAAUUUCCAUCAAAUUAAACCGGCCGUUUCUAGAGUAAGUGUCAAAGGGCUUGGUGGUUAGUACCUGAGACCCAAGUUCGAAUCCUACUUGAUUCACAUUUUCAGCUAAGUUUAUUUAUAAAUAAAGUAAACGAAACGAAUAGCGUGUUAUCUAUCUCUAAAAAAAAAAAUAAUAAAAAAAUCCAUCAAAUAAAAGUAGCAAUAUUCGGUUAAAAAUGUCAAAAAUAUCGAGAAGCUCAGAUUGCAAGGGCUGAAAAAACAGCAACUUUUGACUGCAACAAAGGUUCUGACGAAAGCAGAAAUUCUAGUUCAAAAAUUUCUGCUUCUAGUUAUAGCAGAACUUAGUUGGUUUAUUUCAAAGCUUUUAAAGCUUCCUUGAACAGCUCUAAUGUCAAAGCACUUCUCAAAAACGCUCCUCAUGAGCCAAAAACGCGUUUGUGCGCCUUGAGAUGCUAACCUGCAACAUCAUCUACUCUACGGUCCCUAGCUUGGAAUGUGAACCCCAAACCUUAUCUAUAUCUACAGCAUCUUGGGAAGCGGAUAUGAAACUAAAAUACUAUUCUAUGUAUCACCAACACUUCUAUAAAAUCUCGUGUGACCGUAUCAGUUAGACUCGUGUCCAACGCUGACCUUGACGCAUCUCAUUAAAAAAAAAUAUUUUUUAUUUAUAUUUUACGCAUUAAAAAAUAUAAGAAAUUUUUGAUAAAUGCAUAAAACUUUUUGAAUAAAACAUAUAAACUAUAUAUGGUAGAAUUUUUUUAAAAAAAAAGAUUUGAACUAUCGAUGAGAAUUUUUAUUAACAUUAUUCUUAUGAGAAAUCUAAUAUUAUUUUAGCAAAAUUAUAUUUAAUAUAUAAUUAUAUUAAAAAUAUUAUGUAUUAUUAGCGGUGUCAAUAUCGUGGCCGUGUCAGGAUCCAUGACGCCUAGAUGCUAACCCAAAAUUGUUUCAGCAUUUAUCUAACUGGGUCGACUAAUUAAGAGCUAGCUCGAAAACGUAAUCUUCAAACUGAUUAAAUUACAUACUUUAAAAUUAAAAAAUAAUUUAAAACCAUGUAAUUAAAGAGGUUUUUUUUUUUUUGAAAAUAAGAAGCUUUGCACUGUACACUCUUAACCAAAGACCACAAAUUCUUUUCCAUCAUAGGUAAAUAAUUUAUCACUAGAAUACCAAUCCAGUAAGGCGCAAAUCCGCACUGAAGAAGUAACUAAAAGAAGUUAUUUUAGCUUACAAAUCUACUUCUCAUUUUAGCUAAUAAAAUAUUGACAAAUCUACUUCUCAUGUUCACUAAUGAACUAGACCACCCAACAUAGAACAAAAUCCUCGUAAACAAUUUGACACAGAGAGAGAGAGAGAGAGUGAAAAAAUAAAUUUAUCAGAUGACAAAGAAGUGAGUACAAAGCAACCAAUUAGGAGGUAGAUGAGACUACUUAAAUUCCCAUAAACUAAUGUACUAAUAAUGUACUUACUAUAUAUCACUUAGCAAACCAAAAAUGCAUAUAUGCAUGAAACAUGUGAAGAACAAAAUGGUACAUGAAAUUCGAUUCACAGCUCAUGUGCCCCAUAGAAUAUAUUUGAAAAUAAGAGGGAAUGAGGAUCUGGAAUUUCAACAUCAUGCCAACUGAUCAACAGUAACCACUAUAAUGACAGAGAACAUGGAAUUCUACUGUAUAUGCCACUGAAAUACAUAUCAUACUAUUCAAAAAUUUAAGAGAGUAUAAUGCUGUUGUAGUACAAAAAAAUAAAUGAAAACAUUGUUUGAUAGAUCUGAGAAAAAAAAAAAAGAGAGAAGAAAUAACUCAUGCGUGGCAAUCAAAAAGAAACCCAGAAAUGAAGCAUAGAGAAACAAAAAUAUAUACUUAGUUCAAAAUUAUUCAACUUAAAUUAAUUCACCAUAAAACCACAUUUCAAAAAGUGUCCAUACUUUAUUUAUAUAUAUAUAUAUAUAUAUAACACCAAACCCAGGAACAAAGAAGCUGUGUUUUGACUAGCAUCAUCAUAAACAAAUUAAGAAGCAACUGCUUAAGCCAAAAAAAAAAAAAAAAAAAAAAAAAAAAAAAAAAUGUAAACCAUCUAAUUUGUUUUUUUAAAAAUACAUAUAACAUAUUUAAUUUUCUUAGGAUACUAGGUUCUACAUGCAAAAUGACUUAGCAUAUUUUAAUGUACAUACCAUGAAGUUGCAAAUAACUUACUAUAUUUCUCCUCGCUCAUCAAAAGAAAAAAAAUAUAUAUUUAUACAUCCAAACAGACAUGACACACGUAUCUAGAGAAAAUAAAGCCUCAGAGAUCACCUUUUUUAUGUGAUAUAAAUCAAUCUAGGGCUCAAAAGACAUAAUAAAGCCGAUAAAGACAAUCUUAAUGCAACUACAUCAGCUCAGAAGAACUCUUUAAUGACCUUGCUAUGCCGCAUACUGUAAACAACUUCACACAGAAUAUUUAUAGGACUUUGGCAACUAUCCAGAAACAUAGCUGUUGCUGUACAAUUGACUCAAAAUUGCACUAACUCUGCAAUAUUAUAACCCAGAUUACCAGGAAAAAAAAAAAAAACAUUAAAAAAUGCAUGAAGAAAGAAAAUAAAUAAAAAAGAAAAAAGAAAAUAAGGGAAAAGGUUAAUUGGUUAAAUAAGCAAUAGCUCAGCUCUUCCUAGGGGCUUCUUCGGUCAAACAGAAUCAGCAUUCUUUGUUUCAAGCUUCUCGUCAUCUGCGCUAGCUUUAGGCUUUGAGGAAAGGGAGCUCUGCUUCGAAAGAAGCUGCUUGCUAGAAGCCGGUGGCGACUCGUUUGGCCCUCGCAGGUUGAGGUAAGUGUAGACAGACAUCCCACAAAGAGCAACGAUCGCUCCACACAGACUAGUAGCCCCAGGGUCAGAACUAAAAAGCAGAUAGCCACCGAGCAUAAUAACUAUUGUUUUGAACUGGCCCAAAACAACAUGAGAGGUUGCAGACGUCGCACUGCAUAAACAUUAAAAGAGUUCAGACCAAACAGGAAGGUAAAAAUUACUGAUGGAACCUGAACUACAGCGAAUUUUGAGACAGCAACCUACACUUCACCAUGUGCUAUAGUUCAUGUAAGGUGCAUACGUUUCUCACCAAACANAUAGUGGGACGGUGUGUAGCGUUUGAUGAAGAAAUUAAGAGACUUGUCGUUUAAGGAAUACAAGCACUCGAUAUGGUAAUUUUCCAAGUCAAAGAUAAACAAACCAUGGCAGGGUGGGUGUUCUCAGGUUUCGUAUUUGCGCAGAAGCUCACAGACGAGAACGAACGAAGAUCCCCACAUGGACAGAGAGAGAGAGAGAGAGAGAGAAUACGUGUCGAUCGAGAGACCGGAGAAGAGAGAGAGGUGGAGGAGAUAGAGAGAGAGCUGUUGAAUCUCUCUGGUGCGAAAUAUUUGAUUUGAUUUGAUUUGAUUUGAUUUGAUACUGUGGGUGGUGGUACGGAAUAUUACUCUCUCUCUCUCUCUCUCUCUGUGUCUCACCCCUCUCACCUUGCGUUGUUUGUAUUAUAGUGGGGGAGUAGGGUGCUUAUUUAUAGAUUGUACUAGCUAGUGAGUAGUGACUAGGAAAUUUUGUUUGUUUGUUUGUAGUCUCCGCACAUAAAUUAAAUUAAAUUACUUGACUAUGCUGCUGAGGAGUUUAAUAAAAUUUUAUCAAAUUCUAAGUUUGAUAUGCAGUAUCCAAGUUUUAAACUACCAUUUUAAUGUAAAAACUUUUAUCUAUCUGACUUUCAGCACUGCAUUAUAAAAAUGAGGUGCCUCCUGUUAAAUUUUCUUUUCCUUUGUUUAUAUUUUUGCCUUUCGGUUCUAAAGAUAAUGAAUAAAAUAAAAUGUUUGGCCAAAAAAAAAUAAAUAAAUAAAAUUGCUAUAGCAAAAGAUGGAAAAGAAGUUGUAAUUUUUUGUUUAGAGCAGUGGGAGUUUCUGCGUUUUCCUGCGGGCCGGCGGGACAUGAGAUGAAUUCUUCAUUUGUUUUUAGAAAAUAACUAAUUUUGUUCGUAACAUCAAAUAAUUAUAUUAUGAUAAUUAUAAAGAAUCAUGUAGCAAGAAAAGCUUAUGGCUUCGCUUAGCAAUGAAAUGUUUCCAAACUCAUUUGCUCUAAUGCAGUGAGGGAACCCAAAAAAAUUCAUUAAGUCUUUUGAAUUGUAUCUCCUCUAAUGAUAUAAAAUAGGGAUACAAAUUGUC